CUCAAAGACAAAGCAGUUGAGUCUUAUUUUUACUCCAGUGUUCUUUUUGCCUAUAAUUGAAUAUCCUUUUAAGAAUUGAUUUUGAUGAAGGCUGUGUCAUUGAACAGAAGAUGAAAGGCAGAACUGAGAAGUCUCAUUGGCUGUGGAAGAGUUGGAGAAAGGGGCAGCUGUUGAAAGGUUGGGAUCUGAAAAGGAAAGCAGCUCAAGCCUUGGAGGCACUCCUACUUGGAGUAUGACUUCUGGCAACUUUCUAAAUGCUCUGAGCCUCGGUUUAUAUAUUCAUAAACUGCAAAUAAUAACACCUACCUCAAAUGGGCUCUGUGAGGAUUGUCAAGGCCAUUACGUGACAGCUGACUAUCCAUAAUGAAAGGAAAGUGACCUGCAAACAUCCAGUCACAGGACAACCAUCACAGGACAAUUGUAUUUUU
rnacentral:sRNA from 1 species